AACGAACGCUGGCGGCAGGCUUAACACAUGCAAGUCGAACGCGUGUAGCAAUACACGAGUGGCGCACGGGUGAGUAACGCGUGGAUAUCUGCCUUUUGGUUCGGAAUAACCCCGGGAAACUGGGGCUAAUACCGGAUGGUUCCUUCGGGAUAAAGAUUUAUCGCCAAAAGAUGAGUCCGCGUACGAUUAGCUAGUUGGUGAGGUAAUGGCUCACCAAGGCGACGAUCGUUAGCUGGUCUGAGAGGACGAUCAGCCACACUGGGACUGAGACACGGCCCAGACUCCUACGGGAGGCAGCAGUGGGGAAUAUUGGACAAUGGGCGCAAGCCUGAUCCAGCCAUGCCGCGUGAGUGACGAAGGUCUUCGGAUUGUAAAGCUCUUUUGGCGGGGACGAUAAUGACGGUACCCGCAGAAUAAGCCCCGGCUAACUUCGUGCCAGCCGCCGCGGUAAGAC
rnacentral:rRNA from 1 species